GACGAACGCUGGCGGCGUGCCUAAUACAUGCAAGUCGAGCGAGCGGAACUAACAGAUUUACUUCGGUAAUGACGUUAGGAAAGCGAGCGGCGGAUGGGUGAGUAACACGUGGGGAACCUGCCCCAUAGUCUGGGAUACCACUUGGAAACAGGUGCUAAUACCGGAUAAGAAAGCAGAUCGCAUGAUCAGCUUUUAAAAGGCGGCGUAAGCUGUCGCUAUGGGAUGGCCCCGCGGUGCAUUAGCUAGUUGGUAAGGUAAAGGCUUACCAAGGCGAUGAUGCAUAGCCGAGUUGAGAGACUGAUCGGCCACAUUGGGACUGAGACACGGCCCACACUCCUACGGGAGGCAGCAGUAGGGACUCUUCCACAAUGGACGCAAGUCUGAUGGAGCAACGCCGCGUGAGUGAAGAAGGUUUUCGGAUCGUAAAGCUCUGUUGUUGGUGAAGAAGGAUGGAGGUAGUACCUGGCCUUUAUUUGACGGUAAUCAAACAGAAAGUCACGGCUAACUCCGUG
rnacentral:rRNA from 1 species